rnacentral:rRNA from 1 species
CCUACGGGAUGCAGCAGUGAGGAAUAUUGGUCAAUGGACGCAAGUCUGAACCAGCCAUGCCGCGUGCAGGAAGACGGCUCUAUGAGUUGUAAACUGCUUUUGUACGAGGGUAAACGCAGAUACGCGUAUCUGUCUGAAUGUAUCGUACGAAUAAGGAUCGGCUAACUCCGUGCCAGCAGCCGCGGUAAUACGGAGGAUUCAAGCGUUAUCCGGAUUUAUUGGGUUUAAAGGGUGCGUAGGCGGUCGGAUAAGUUAGAGGUGAAAUCCCGAGGCUCAACUUCGGAAUUGCCUCUGAUACUGUUAGGCUAGAGAGUAGUAGCGGUAGGCGGAAUGUAUGGUGUAGCGGUGAAAUGCUUAGAGAUCAGACAGAACACCGAUUGCGAAGGCAGCUUACCAAGCUACUUCUGACGUUGAGGCACGAAAGCGUGGGGAGCAAACAGGAUUAGAUACCCUGGUAGUC